rnacentral:lncRNA from 1 species
GAUCAAGCAAAUUACAUGGUAUUAUUCAAUCCUCAAAUCAAAGGACUCAAAAUAUGGCGUAUCAAGGGUUAACCUAUCAUUGAUGCAAAGUAUUGAAGAUGAUUCAUGAUCAUUUAUCAACAGUUUUGGGUCAAAGGAGUUUGAUCAACCUCAAGUCCAUCUAUCAAUGAUUUGAGAUGAGGAAGAACACAUCAACCAAGCAAUCAAGACAACUAAAAACAACAAGAAGUCAACAAAAAACAAAGAAAAUGAAUUAAAAAUGAUUUAAUAUUGAUUAAAUAAAUAAAAUAAAAGGAAAAAUCUCAAAGAGGGGUCAAAGCAUCAAAUAAAAGUCUAAGAAAAAUGUGGAAGGUCAACAAGAAUAUGAGAAGUUGGACCUUAAAAGUUGGGAUAAAAAAGGUUUUUAAAUGAUUAAAAUAAAAAUACCAAAAGAAAAUUAAAUGGAAAAUAAAAGAAAAUAAACGUUUAAUUGAAAAAUGAUUUAAAGAAAAAGAAAAAAAAAGGCACGAGGUAGAAAAUAUUUUUAUGGAAUUAUGAAUAAAAAUGAAUAAAAAGAUGAUAAUGAAACUAUUUUUCAUUAAUUUUAGAAGAAAAUGGGAAUUAAAAACAAAUUAAAACAAAA